UAUACAUGCAAGUCGAAGCGGACAGAUGGGAAGCUUGCUCCCCUGAUGUUAGCGGCGGACGGGUGAGUAACACGUGGGUAACCUGCCUGUAAGACUGGGAUAACUCCGGGAAACCGGGGCUAAUACCGGAUGGUUGUUUGAACCGCAUGGUUCAGACAUAAAAGGUGGCUUCGGCUACCACUUACAGAUGGACCCGCGGCGCAUUAGCUAGUUGGUGAGGUAACGGCUCACCAAGGCGACGAUGCGUAGCCGACCUGAGAGGGUGAUCGGCCACACUGGGACUGAGACACGGCCCAGACUCCUACGGGAGGCAGCAGUAGGGAAUCUUCCGCAAUGGACGAAAGUCUGACGGAGCAACGCCGCGUGAGUGAUGAAGGUUUUCGGAUCGUAAAGCUCUGUUGUUAGGGAAGAACAAGUGCCGUUCAAAUAGGGCGGCACCUUGACGGUACCUAACCAGAAAGCCACGGCUAACUACGUGCCAGCAGCCGCGGUAAUACGUAGGUGGCAAGCGUUGUCCGGAAUUAUUGGGCGUAAAGGGCUCGCAGGCGGUUUCUUAAGUCUGAUGUGAAAGCCCCCGGCUCAACCGGGGAGGGUCAUUGGAAACUGGGGAACUUGAGUGCAGAAGAGGAGAGUGGAAUUCCACGUGUAGCGGUGAAAUGCGUAGAGAUGUGGAGGAACACCAGUGGCGAAGGCGACUCUCUGGUCUGUAACUGACGCUGAGGAGCGAAAGCGUGGGGAGCGAACAGGAUUAGAUACCCUGGUAGUCCACGCCGUAAACGAUGAGUGCUAAGUGUUAGGGGGUUUCCGCCCCUUAGUGCUGCAGCUAACGCAUU
rnacentral:rRNA from 1 species